AUUGAACGCUGGCGGCAUGCCUUACACAUGCAAGUCGAACGGCAGCACGGGUGCUUGCACCUGGUGGCGAGUGGCGAACGGGUGAGUAAUAUAUCGGAACGUACCUUAUUGUGGGGGAUAACGCAGCGAAAGCUGUGCUAAUACCGCAUAAUCCCUAAGGGGGAAUGCGGGGGACUGUAAGGCCUCGCGCAAUUAGAGCGGCCGAUACCUGAUUAGCUAGUUGGUGAGGUAAAGGCUCACCAAGGCAACGAUCAGUAGCUGGUCUGAGAGGACGAUCAGCCACACUGGGACUGAGACACGGCCCAGACUCCUACGGGAGGCAGCAGUGGGGAAUUUUGGACAAUGGGGGCAACCCUGAUCCAGCAAUGCCGCGUGAGUGAAGAAGGCCUUCGGGUUGUAAAGCUCUUUUGUCAGGGAAGAAACAGCAGCUCUAACACAGUUUGCGAAUGACGGUACCUGAAGAAUAAGCACCGGCUAACUACGUGCCAGCAGCCGCGGUAA
rnacentral:rRNA from 1 species